UGAGCAGACUAUGCGGCAGCGGAAACGUUUUAUGUUUAUGAGGAAAGUCCGGGCAUCACAGAGCAGGAUAGCUGUUAACGACAGCCGAGGGCGACCUUAGGGCAAGUGCAACAGAAAUAAACUUCCUGAUAUAUCUUCAGGUAAAGGUGGAAAGGCGAGGUAAAAGCUCACCGGAGUGCAGGAGACUGCACUGCCAUGUAAACCCUAUCCGAUGCAACGUCUAUUGGUGCUGAAUAUCUUAACGUCUGCUCGGCGGAUAUUCAGUAAUGACGGCUUGAACUUAUCGGCAACGAUAAGUGUAGAUAAAUUGCCGCACCCGACAGAACCCGGCUUAUCGGUCUGGUCAUCUU
rnacentral:RNase_P_RNA from 1 species